rnacentral:rRNA from 1 species
AGUGAACGCUGGCGGUAGGCCUAACACAUGCAAGUCGAACGGCAGCACAGUAAGAGCUUGCUCUUACGGGUGGCGAGUGGCGGACGGGUGAGGAAUACAUCGGAAUCUACUUUUUCGUGGGGAUAACGUAGGGAAACUUACGCUAAUAACGCAUACGACCUACGGGUGAAAGCAGGGGGUCUUCGGACCUUGCGCGAUUGAAUGAGCCGAUGUCGGAUUAGCUAGUUGGCGGGGUAAAGGCCCACCAAGGCGACGAUCCGUAGCUGGUCUGAGAGGAUGAUCAGCCACACUGGAACUGAGACACGGUCCAGACUCCUACGGGAGGCAGCAGUGGGGAAUAUUGGACAAUGGGCGCAAGCCUGAUCCAGCCAUACCGCGUGGGUGAAGAAGGCCUUCGGGUUGUAAAGCCCUUUUGUUGGGAAAGAAAAGCAGCAGGUUAAUACCCCGCUGUUCUGACGGUACCCAAAGAAUAAGCACCGGCUAACUUCGUG